rnacentral:lncRNA from 1 species
AAGGAAUGCAAAACGUACCUGGGUCCUUGCACUUUUCAGGAAUGUGUAGUACCGACUUACCAAUAAGAGCUGAUACAUUCCUUCCCAUGCUGAUCCGUUCAUUGCCCUUCAUCUUCCUCUUGUGUGUGCACAACUCCUUCAGAAAUUUGGCAUACUUGGGUAUCUGCUUGAUGGCAUCGAGUAGAGGUAUGUUCACCUCUACUUU